rnacentral:rRNA from 1 species
GAUGAACGCUGGCGGCGUGCCUAAUACAUGCAAGUCGAGCGAACAGAUAAGGAGCUUGCUACUUUGACGUUAGCGGCGGACGGGUGAGUAACACGUGGGUAACCUACCUAUAAGACUGGAAUAACUCCGGGAAACCGGGGCUAAUGCCGGAUAACAUUUAGAACCGCAUGGUUCUAAAGUGAAAGAUGGUUUUGCUAUCACUUAUAGAUGGACCCGCGCCGUAUUAGCUAGUUGGUAAGGUAACGGCUUACCAAGGCAACGAUACGUAGCCGACCUGAGAGGGUGAUCGGCCACACUGGAACUGAGACACGGUCCAGACUCCUACGGGAGGCAGCAGUAGGGAAUCUUCCGCAAUGGGCGAAAGCCUGACGGAGCAACGCCGCGUGAGUGAUGAAGGUCUUCGGAUCGUAAAACUCUGUUAUUAGGGAAGAACAAAUGUGUAAGUAACUGUGCACGUCUUGACGGUACCUAAUCAGAAAGCCACGGCUAGCUACGUG